CCAACAGGGAUUGCCUCAGUAACGGCGAGUGAAGCGGCAAGAGCUCAGAUUUGAAAUCCGGCAUGCUAUGUGUGCCCGAGUUGUAAUCUGGAGAGAGGUCUUCGGCUUAGGCAUCGGUCAAGAUUCCUUGGAAUAGGAUGACACAGAGGGUGAGAAUCCCGUACCUGGCUGACCGCCAACGCCAUGUGAAGCUUCUUCGACGAGUCGAGUUGUUUGGGAACGCAGCUCUAAAUGGGUGGUAAAUUCCAUCUAAAGCUAAAUAUCUGCGAGAGACCGAUAGCGCACAAGUAGAGUGAUCGAAAGAUGAAAAGCNCUUUGAAAAGAGAGUUAAAAAGUACGUGAAAUUGUUGAAAGGGAAGCGCUU
rnacentral:rRNA from 1 species